rnacentral:rRNA from 1 species
CCUACGGGCGGCAGCAGUGAGGAAUAUUGGUCAAUGGACGCAAGUCUGAACCAGCCAUGCCGCGUGCAGGAAGACGGCUCUAUGAGUUGUAAACUGCUUUUGUACGAGGGUAAACGCAGAUACGCGUAUCUGUCUGAAAGUAUCGUACGAAUAAGGAUCGGCUAACUCCGUGCCAGCAGCCGCGGUAAUACGGAGGAUUCAAGCGUUAUCCGGAUUUAUUGGGUUUAAAGGGUGCGUAGGCGGUCGGAUAAGUUAGAGGUGAAAUCCCGAGGCUCAACUUCGGAAUUGCCUCUGAUACUGUUAGGCUAGAGAGUAGUUGCGGUAGGCGGAAUGUGUGGGGUAGCGGUGAAAUGCUUAGAGAUCAUACAGAACACCGAUUGCGAAGGCAGCUUACCAAGCUACUACUGACGUUGAGGCACGAAAGCGUGGGGAGCAAACAGGAUUAGAUACCCUGGUAGUC